GAUGGUAGUGUAUUGGACUACCAUGGCUUUAACGGGUAACGGAGGAUUAGGGUUCGAUUCCGGAGAGGGAGCCUGAGAAACGGCUACCACAUCUAAGGAAGGCAGCAGGCGCGUAAAUUACCCAAUCGCGACUCGCGGAGGUAGUGACAAGAAAUAACGGACCGAAGCCUAUGUUUCAGGAUUGCAAUGAGUAGAAUUUAAACCCCUUUACGAGGAUCAAUUGGAGGGCAAGUCUGGUGCCAGCAGCCGCGGUAAUA
rnacentral:rRNA from 1 species